rnacentral:rRNA from 1 species
ACUGACUGCUAUCGGAUUGGUACUAAGCCAUGUGAGUCGUUGUAGCAAUACAAGGCAUACGGCUCAGUAACACGUAGUCAAUCUAACCUAUGGACGGGGAUAACCUCGGGAAACUGAGGAUAAACCCCGAUAGAUCAUUAUGCCUGGAACGGUUUAUGGUCUAAAUGAUUCGUCGCCGUAGGGUGGGACUGCGGCCUAUCAGCUUGUUGGUGAGGUAAUGGCCCACCAAGGCUAUUACAGGUACGGGCUCUGAGAGGAGAAGCCCGGAGAUGGGUACUGAGACACGGACCCAGGCCCUAUGGGGCGCAGCAGGCGAGAAACCUUUGCAAUGUGCGCAAGCACGACAAGGUUAAUCCGAGUGUUUCCUGCUAAAGGAAUCUUUUGUUAGUUGUAAAACCACUGAUGAAUAAGGGGUGGGCAAGUUCUGGUGUCAGCCGCCGCGGUAAAACCAGCACCUCAAGUGGUCAGGAUGAUUAUUGGGCCUAAAGCAUCCGUAGCCUGUUCUAUAAGUUUCCGGUUAAAUCCAUUAGCUCAACUAAUGGGCUGCCGAAAAUACUGUAGAACUAGGGAGUGGGAGAGGUAGACGGUACUCGUAGGAAGGGGUAAAAUCCUUUUGAUCUAUUGAUGACCACCUGUGGCGAAGGCGGUCUACCAGAACACGUUCGACGGUGAGGGAUGAAAGCUGGGGGGAGCAAACCGGAUUAGAUACCCGGGUAGUCCCAGCUGUAAACGAUGCAGACUCGGUGAUGCCCUGGCUUGUGGCCAGUGCAGUGCCCCAGGGAAGCCGUUAAGUUUGCCGCCUGGGAAGUACGUACGCAAGU